rnacentral:misc_RNA from 1 species
GAUGAAGAACGUAGUGAAAUGCGAUAAGUAAUGUGAAUUGCAGAAUUCAGUGAAUCAUCGAAUCUUUGAACGCACAUUGCGCCCCCUGGUAUUCCGGGGGGCAUGCCUGUUCGAGCGUCAUUUCACCACUCAAGCCUCGCCUGGUAUUGGGCAACGCGGUCCGCCGCGUGCCUCAAAUCGACCGGCUGGGUCUUCUGUCCCCUAAGCGUUGUGGAAACUAUUCGCUAAAGGGUGCUCGGGAGGCUACGCCGUAAAACAAACCCAUUUCUAAGGUUGACCUCGGAUCAGGUAGGGAUACCCGCUGAACUUAAGCAUAUCAAUAAGCGGAGGA